rnacentral:lncRNA from 1 species
UACAAGAAAAAGAAAUAGCCUUUGUUGACAUCUUCUUCUCUCUGUUUUAAAGAGUUUCAUCCUUAUCCAUUCCAUCAAUUUCUCUCUCUCUGUUACCUUUCAGUUGAUUAGAUCUUCUUAAAUUCUUACCUUCGAUUUUAGAUUUGGGAUCCUUCUUGUUGUGUAGAUUCUCAGGAGUAAAGAUGAACAAAGGCAGCAGCUUCAAGCUUGACAACGAUUACGGUUUGUUUUUCUUUCUUGUGAUCUUAGGUUUAUAAGAGCACACACAUGUGUUUAUAUCUGAGUCUUCGAGAUGGGUUUUUGUGUGCAGAAAAGAGGAAAGCUGAAGCUGGAAGGAAUUAAAAAAAAAUAAGUUGUCAAUGAUCGUUCAAAAAAAUUGUUCAAAGCAAAUUUUGAAACUAAAAUAUUGUAUUUUAUAAGGUUUAUAGUUUAAUUUAAAACGAUAUAUAUAUUAAUCUUAUUAAUUAAUUAAAUUAGACUUUUUACUUAUAUAAUUUUUGUAAUCGUUUGUAUUUUGUCAUAACAAAAAUUUUAAACCAUGGAUCAUAAAAUUUGAAUGUAAGACUUUUAACAGUUUUAGUAAUUUAUACCCGUUUGUAAAAAUUCAAAAUAUAACAUAUACAUAAAAAUCUAUAUUUUUAUUAUAUGGUUAUUGUGGUUAUUUAAUUUAUUUAAUAUAUUUAAUUUAUUUAAUAGCUUAAAAUUAAACAAAUAUGAUAGAAGAUACACUAUUUUUUAUCAAAUCUUUAUUAUUCAAAAUCAUUAAUUGCCAUAUAUACUUUAGCCACUUUAGGAAAUUCCGUAAAUUUUAUUUAAGAAAAUAAUAAAGUACAUUAAUGAUGAAUUUAUUGUUAGUUUAAUAAAAAACUUAUUAUAUAAUUAGAUGGACCAACAUAUUUCUCUAAUGAUUCUAAAAAUCAUUCUAAUGAUGACACGUGGCUACAAAAAGAAGUUGUAAUGCUUCUCAAAUAAUAUAUAUGGGAUUUGUAUUGUUUCGUUUCGUUUUAUGUUUUGAGGUUUUUGUUGUCCAAAAAAAAAGAAUGUUUUGAGGUUUUAAGGAAAUACUUCCAUUUUGUGUGGAAACAAAGAUGUAGCGUUUCACUUUGUUGUUUAAAGAUCAAUUUGUAUGAUUUAACAAUGAUCAUUUAAUGUAUUAGUCCUGGUCAAUGGAGAUGACAAUGCUAUGCUCAAAAACUUCAACGCACUAUAAAAAUAAAAAUUCAUUUAAAUAAUGAAGCGUUAAUUAUUAUGUUAAUGUUGUCUACCGUUAAUAAUACAGCAAAAAAAUUAUAUAAUCGAUGAAAGUACAAAACAAAAACGUAAGAAUAAACUAUUUACAUUAGGUAUAAGAUAUUGUCGACACUAAACAACUGUGUUGGAAAUGAAACUUUUUUUUAGCUAUAAAACAAUUUAUUUUCUUGCCAACAUAAAUCAAUUUAAUCGCACGGUCCCAAUAUGUUGUUUACAAUUUCUAAGAAAAUUCGUGGUAGUGAAACACCUCGAUGAUACAACAUGGAUCACGCUAACAUAUUGUUUAUUCCACUAAAAAACACUAUACAACCAUAAGAUAUAGUACUAACAUUACUAAUAAUCAAGUGGUCCAUAUAUGAAAGUGGAGUAAAUGAAAAUCAAGUAAGGAGAAGUGCAGCUGGAUUUUCCAAGACAAGAUUGAAAAUUUUGGUUGCUUGUGUAUGAAUGUAAAGUAGACAUGGUUAUUAAGUUAUUAUUAUGUGACAGAAUUGCAUUAAACGAACCAUUAUACAUAUAGUACUCCUAUCUUGAAUCAGUAAUGAUCAGAAAAUUUAAAACAAUUAUAUUGAGCAUUGUCAUUAUGAGAGACAUGGUUUAUUUCCCAAGACAAACCACAAACCUCCAUGUGAGUUUCCACCACUAUUGUAACUCUGUCUUAAAACAAAAUGUGUGUCGCAUUAAAUUAUUUUUUCGUGGCUUUCUGUUAUUUUCAGAAUGCAAAUUACCAACUUGCUUAUUCAAUCUUUAGGAGUGGUGACUAGCUUAAGAAGGGACACCACUAACGUGCCACUUGUGUAGAUAUUGACGUAUGUAUGUAAAAUUAUAUUUCCCUCUGUUCCUAUUCCUAAAUACGUAAAAAAGAUUAUUUUUUGUCUAGAAAUUAUCAUUAAAAAUGUAAAUUAAUGAUAUUCAACCAAUUAUAAAAUAAAUUAUUAAAAUGUGAUUGAAUAAUAAAGUAAAAAUUAUCUGGAAAAAUGAAAACAUCUUAUAUAUUAAAACAUCACAAUUCUGUAAAACAUCCUACCUUUAGGAACAAUAUUAUUUUACAUUUUAAAUUUUAAAUUUUAGAUUUCAAAUUCUUAAUAGCAUAUCUUUAAAACCCAGCUUCAAACUUAGGGGCAUUUGCGUUGAGGACCUUGAGGUUAUUAUACAUCACUUUCUAUUCCCAAUUGAUAAUAAAAUCUACUUAUAUAAUUUUAUUAGUAGUUUAAUUUACUCAUUCGGAAUAUCAUUAAUAAAUCAAGAUGAACAUAUACGUAUUUAUACUGAUGCUAUGUUCCUAGUUAAAUGUUUGAUACAAUAAUGGUCUCUUUUGUCAACGACCAACACAACAACACAAGAGAUGGUUAACGAUUAAUACGUAAACUAAAACUUAAGUAUUAUUGCUAAAAUCUAGGGUUAGUUGAAAUAAAAAAAUACAAAACUAUAUGAUGCACUAUUACACACAUAACAAAUUCUCCAUUAAUCAUUUGGUAAUGACGAAGAUAAGCUAUUAUAUACUCCAUAUAUCAAACCCUUUUUUCAUCUGUCAAAAAUGUUAAUAACGUCGCUUAAUAUUUAUAUUGCUAAAGAUUUCAAGUUUUAUGUACCUAAUACCCAUGGCCUAAUACUAAGAUUAUCUCCGAACAAUUUUUUGGUAGAGCCGUCGAAAUAAUAUAAUUUUGAUGAUCGAAUGACUCUAUAAGAUCUAGUUUUGAAGAUAGCUAAACGCUACUGUUGUUUCAUUAGAAUCAUCCAGAUGAGCGAAUAGGCACGAGUAGACGGUAACGAAGUCGCAAACCCUAGUUAUAACUAUUCAAAGGAGUGGUGACUGGCAGGGGUGGAUCUAGCACUAAACUCAGAUAGGAGCACAUGACAUGUUUACAUUACAUCUAACUCUGUAAAUGGGGGCAGUUUUUAUACUUUAUACAUAUUACUAUUGGAAAAAUAAAAUUUAGACGGGCGCACGUGACCCCGUUACAUCGCCUCUGCGUCCCCCCUGGUGACUGAACGAGAGAGUCGUAUCAGGUUUGUUUUGUAGCAAUACUUGGACACGUAUGUAUUAUAUAGGGCAUGAGCCUUUUAGAAUCUAUCUUAUCAAACCAACUACAGGCCCAUUAAAGCUAAGUAAUCCGUAUUAUCCGCGGUUACACAAAUCAUUAAGCCAUUGCACUAACGGAGAAGUGCGAUCCACUAAAAGGAAACAGAAGUGAAAUUACGGUCCGAUUGGUAAUUAGGUUUAAAUUUUUUUGGCGUAGAAAAAAAUCGGUAGAUUUUUUGCCGUUGUUUUAGAUUUUAUUGCUGUAGAAUUUUAUGGAAAGCACUAAAAAAUUGUUUUGGAUAUUUGGCUCUGCAGAGCACUUGUACAGCUGUAGGUUAUUUUAAAAGCUGUGGUUUCAAAAAAAAAUUAAAAAAUUUAUUGCUCUGAAUUUGGUGCUGUAGCAAUAAAUAGAGUUGUGGACAGCAGCUUCAACAACUGCCAAUCACCCCCUAGAUUUGGUAUUUUUGUCAUCCUAAGGCCAAUUGCUAGAAACCAACAUUUACAACAAGGCCCAACCAUCGGCAAAAGAUGAGGCCCAACCAGGCCUAAAAACAGAAAUCCAAAAAGGAUCCAGCAAAAAGAAAGUCCAAGAGGAAGAAGGUAGCUGUAAAUAGUUAUUUGACAGCAAUUUUAUUUUUUUAAAUCCUAGACAAAAUAUAAUUGUAAAAGAUUACGUAAUAUUAAUUUUUUUUUUCUAAAAUUCUACAAAACUGUUUAAGAAUAUUUGAUAGUUUUUUUUCUUUUUUUAUAAAAAAAAUCCCAAACAAAAAAAUUGUAUAAUAUUUUUAAAUCAUAACCAAAAGAGAAUUGUAAAAAUUACUUGAUAUUAUUUUUAAGAAAGUGUUUGAUAAUGAACAUGAUACUAAAAAUUAUUUAAUUAGCAAAAAAGUGUAAAAAUUAUCAUUAAUACGAAUUGUAAAAUAGCAAUUUUAAAAAUAUUUAUUAAUAAAUAAAAAUAACUAUUUAAUAGCAAUAUAUUUUUUCUGAAAUUCUAAAGAGAAGAUAAUUGUAAUAGGUUAUAUGACAGUAAUUUACCUUUUCUAAAAUCUUAAACAAGAUUCUAAAGAGUAUUUAAUAUUAUUUUUUAUUUUUUAAUUGUAAAUAAAAAUGAGAUUUAUAAAAUAUAGUGCUUUCAUUUUUUAGAAAAUCCUAACAAAAUAAAAUUUUCAAAACUGAUUUAAUAAAACAUUAAAUUAGUACAUAAGAACAUGUAUAAUGUUGUCAUUGAUUCGAUUGAUGUAUUCAACUUUCAUUUCAUUUUACUUUUCAUUUCUUAUUUCGGUUUGUGUUUAAUUUAAAUGUUUAUGUAUAGUAUUUUCUCUAAUCCUUAGUAUAAAGUUUAUAACAACUCAUCUAUGCACCGUGAUUAUAAAAUACAAAUAUUAAUUUGAACGUGAAAUUUUUUUUAAUUAUAAAAUAAAUUUCAAACAAUAUAUGCAAAAAACAAUUAUAAUACUAUAAUAAAAUGAUUUAUUGUUAUUUUAUGGUUUUUAUUAAAUUAAAACAUUAAACAAGAUCCGUUGCGAUGUAACUGACUACUGUGAUAUUAAAUUAUAUAUAAUUACGUAGUAUUAUUGGCUUGUGAAAGACGAACAUUAUAUAUAAUAAUUGACCUAAGCAAAAAAAAGUGAAUGAUUAUGUUUGGAGAACAAGGUAAGGUUGUCUAGACACGUAAGGGAAUAUACUAUACAAAUAGGUAUAAGUUAAUCGUUAUCCAAUCAUACAAGAAAAAGAAAUAGCCUUUGUUGACAUCUUCUUCUCUCUGUUUUAAAGAGUUUCAUCCUUAUCCAUUCCAUCAAUUUCUCUCUCUCUGUUACCUUUCAGUUGAUUAGAUCUUCUUAAAUUCUUACCUUCGAUUUUAGAUUUGGGAUCCUUCUUGUUGUGUAGAUUCUCAGGAGUAAAGAUGAACAAAGGCAGCAGCUUCAAGCUUGACAACGAUUACGGUUUGUUUUUCUUUCUUGUGAUCUUAGGUUUAUAAGAGCAC